GGGCCCGUAGCUCAAUCGGUUAGAGCAGUGCACUCAUAAUGCAUUGGUUGCAGGUUCAAGUCCUGCCGGGCCCACCA
rnacentral:tRNA from 2 species